GAACGGCUGAAGAGUCUCAUAAUAGGACGAAACAGCCGUCCAGUGC
rnacentral:hammerhead_ribozyme from 1 species